rnacentral:tRNA from 1 species
GAAGGUAUAGCUUAAGUGGUAGAGCGCAUGCUUAGCAUGCACAAGGUCCUGGCUUCAAUCCCCAGUACGUCCU